GAUGAACGCUAGCGGCAGGCUUAAUACAUGCAAGUCGAGGGACAGCACAGGUAGCAAUACUGGGUGGUAACCGGCAAACGGGUGCGGAACACGUACACAACCUUCCUUUAAGUGGGGGAUAGCCCAGAGAAAUUUGGAUUAAUACCCCGUAAUAUAGUUGAAUGGCAUCAUUUGAUUAUUAUAGCUACGGCGCUUAAUGAUGGGUGUGCGGCUGAUUAGAUAGUUGGCGGGGUAACGGCCCACCAAGUCUACGAUCAGUAGCUGAUGUGAGAGCAUGAUCAGCCACACGGGAACUGAGACACGGGCCAGACGCCUACGGGAGGCAGCAGUAAGGAAUAUUGGUCAAUGGACGCAAGUCUGAACCAGCCAUGCCGCGUGAAGGAUUAAGGUCCUCUGGAUUGUAAACUUCUCUUAUUUGGGACGAAAAAGGGCCUUUCUAGGUCAACUGACGGUACCAGAUGAAUAAGCACCGGCUAACUCCGUGCCAGCCGCCGCCGUAACAC
rnacentral:rRNA from 1 species